GAUGAACGCUGGCGGCGUGCCUAAUACAUGCAAGUCGAGCGAACAGACGAGGAGCUUGCUCCUCUGACGUUAGCGGCGGACGGGUGAGUAACACGUGGAUAACCUACCUAUAAGACUGGGAUAACUUCGGGAAACCGGAGCUAAUACCGGAUAAUAUAUUGAACCGCAUGGUUCAAUAGUGAAAGACGGUUUUGCUGUCACUUAUAGAUGGAUCCGCGCCGCAUUAGCUAGUUGGUAAGGUAACGGCUUACCAAGGCAACGAUGCGUAGCCGACCUGAGAGGGUGAUCGGCCACACUGGAGCUGAGACGCGGUCCAGACUCCUACGGGAGGCAGCAGUAGGGAAUCGUCCGCAAUGGGCGAAAGCCUGACGGAGCAACGCCGCGUGAGUGAUGAAGGUCUUCGGAUCGUAAAACUCUGUUAUUAGGGAAGAACAAAUGUGUAAGUAACUAUGCACGUCUUGACGGUACCUAAUCAGAAAGCCACGGCUAACUACGUG
rnacentral:rRNA from 1 species